rnacentral:rRNA from 1 species
AGCGGCGGACGGGUGAGUAACACGUGGGUAACCUGCCUGUAAGACUGGGAUAACUCCGGGAAACCGGGGCUAAUACCGGAUGCUUGAUUGAACCGCAUGGUUCAAUCAUAAAAGGUGGCUUUYAGCUACCACUURCAGAUGGACCCGCGGCGCAUUAGCUAGUUGGUGAGGUAACGGCUCACCAAGGCGACGAUGCGUAGCCGACCUGAGAGGGUGAUCGGCCACACUGGGACUGAGACACGGCCCAGACUCCUACGGGAGGCAGCAGUAGGGAAUCUUCCGCAAUGGACGAAAGUCUGACGGAGCAACGCCGCGUGAGUGAUGAAGGUUUUCGGAUCGUAAAACUCUGUUGUUAGGGAAGAACAAGUACCGUUCGAAUAGGGCGGYAC